UCUCGUAUGUGAUUCCAGCGGAGGGCGCGUAAAAGUUGGGGGUCCUCGUAGCCGCACGAAGGAAUGUGGAAGGCUAUCAACCUGUCUUAUAUUAUCUUAUAUUAUGAUACAAUUAUUGCAUGAAAUUAUUAUCCAUUGUAUUAUACUAUAAUGCAACGAUAUUUCUAAAAAAUCAUGCAACAAUAUUUUUAAAAAAUCAUGUUUAUGGUAUUUGUGUGAUUCAAAAUUUUGUACAUUUUCUUUAUCUCAAUAAUCGACCCCCCCUAAAAAAAAGUUUAAUUGGAACCCUAGAUAUAGUCAAAUUGAGUCUAG
rnacentral:lncRNA from 1 species